rnacentral:rRNA from 1 species
GGGUAGUUCCGUAUGAAAGUUGCGCGAUUCUUCGCGCCGCCUAUCGAAAGGGAAGCCGGUUAAAAUUCCGGCGCCAGGAUGUGGAUGAUAGACGGCAACGUAAACGAACCAGGAGACGUCGGCGAGGGCCCUGGAAAGAGUUAUCUUUUCUUUCUUACAGUCUGUCACCCUGAAAUCGAUUUGUUCGGAGAUAGGGUU